rnacentral:rRNA from 12 species
AACAGGAUUAGAUACCCUGGUAGUCCACGCCGUAAACGAUGAAUGUUAGCCGUCGGGCAGUUUACUGUUCGGUGGCGCAGCUAACGCAUUAAACAUUCCGCCUGGGGAGUACGGUCGCAAGAUUAAAACUCAAAGGAAUUGACGGGGGCCUGCACAAGCGGUGGAGCAUGUGGUUUAAUUCGACGCAACGCGAAGAACCUUACCUGGCCUUGACAUGCAGAGAACUUUCCAGAGAUGGAUUGGUGCCUUCGGGAACUCUGACACAGGUGCUGCAUGGCCGUCGUCAGCUCGUGUCGUGAGAUGUUGGGUUAAGU